CGACAUAAACAAUCCUUCGGGUGCGCUUAUGGGCGGCGAGCGGCGGACGGGUGAGUAAUGCCUGGGAAUAUGCCCUGAUGUGGGGGAUAACCAUUGGAAACGAUGGCUAAUACCGCAUAAUCUCUUCGGAGCAAAGAGGGGGACCUUCGGGCCUCUCGCGUCAGGAUUAGCCCAGGUGAGAUUAGCUAGUUGGUGAGGUAAGAGCUCACCAAGGCGACGAUCUCUAGCUGGUCUGAGAGGAUGAUCAGCCACACUGGAACUGAGACACGGUCCAGACUCCUACGGGAGGCAGCAGUGGGGAAUAUUGCACAAUGGGGGAAACCCUGAUGCAGCCAUGCCGCGUGUGUGAAGAAGGCCUUCGGGUUGUAAAGCACUUUCAGUUGUGAGGAAGGCAUAUGCGUUAAUAGCGUGUGUGUUUGACGUUAGCAACAGAAGAAGCACCG
rnacentral:rRNA from 1 species